GAUGAAGAACGUAGCGAAAUGCGAUACGUAAUGUGAAUUGCAGAAUUCAGUGAAUCAUCGAGUCUUUGAACGCACAUUGCGCCCUCUGGUAUUCCGGGGGGCAUGCCUGUCCGAGCGUCAUUUGCAACCCUCAAGCCCGGCUUGUGUGAUGGGUGCCGUCCCCUACGGGACGCGCCCCGAAGGCAAUGGCGGCGUCGCGGUUAUCCGAUCAGCCAAAGUGUAUGGGGCUUUGUCACUCACUUUACGGCCCGGACCGGCGCCAGUCCGAAUCAAUCUUUUUUCUAAAGUUGACCUCGGAUCAGGUAGGGAUACCCGCUGAACUUAAGCAUAUCAAUAAGCGGAGGA
rnacentral:misc_RNA from 1 species